GUGAGCCGGGGUAAGCUUGGUGCUACUUCUUUUCUUUUGUUUGUUAUUUUCUUUGAAUAAGAGGAUUGAGAAUUUUUGAAUAUUGUGAAGUGAAUUAUGGAAUCGAAAUAUGAUUGGUAUUAUUUGAGAAGAAGAAAGAUUGAAUGCUGAAAUUUGAUUGUAGUUCAGUAGAGAGAAUGAGUCUGUGUUUAAAUUAAACAUGGUAAUGUGAAUGGCAGUUUUGUGUGAAGAAUUCCAAUGAUUGGAACGAGGGUAAUUGUGUGCUGAAAGUUGUGAGGGCGUAGUAUUACAAUUGGAGAUUAUGAGGGUGAAUAUAUUGAUAGAAAUAACAGUUAUUGGUAUGACUGAAUUGUUAUAAGGAAGAGACCGAUAAGGUGAAGGAGGAGAUUAUAGUUUCUUUGUGUGUUUAGAUAUUGGAAAUAGAGAUGAUACAUUCAAGAGGUAAUUGAUUGUGUGACCCUAACGUGAACGCUUAAGCAACUAGUCAUUCCUUGUGUUUGAAUCUCUCUAUACGGAUUUAUUCUUGGAGGUUUCUUUUGGAAUAAGUAAAACGAGCAAUCAAAGACUUAUAAAUGCACCAGUACCAUUCCAACAUCUAAUGAACAAUGUCUUUUGGGAGUUUUUAGAUGAUUUUGUUGUCUCUUACCUACACGACAUCUU
rnacentral:lncRNA from 1 species